CCACGCCGUAAACGAUGGAUACUAGCUGUUGGAGGUAUCGACCCCUCCAGUAGCGAAGCUAACGCGUUAAGUAUCCCGCCUGUGGAGUACGGUCGCAAGACUAAAACAUAAAGGAAUUGACGGGGACCCGCACAAGCGGUGGAUCAUGUUCUUUAAUUCGAUGAUAAACGAUGAACCUUACCAGGGCUUGAAAUCCCGAGAAUUAAUCCGAAAGGAUUGAGUGCUUUAUUGAACUCGGUGACAGGUGUUGCAUGGCCGUCGUCAGCUCGUGUCGUGAGAUGUUUGGUUAAGUCCAUUAACGAGCGCAACCCUUAUCAAUAGUUGGAUUUUUCUAUUGAGACUGCCCCGGCAACGGGGAGGAAGGAGGGGAUGAUGUCAGGUCAGUAUUACCCUUACGUCCUGGGCUAGAAACGUGAUACAAUGGCCGGUACAAUGCGCAGCGAAGCCGCGAGGUGAAGCAAAUCGCAUCAAAACCGGUCCCAGUUCGGAUUGGAGGCUGAAACUCGCCUCCAUGAAGUCGGAAUCG
rnacentral:rRNA from 1 species